AUGAGUAGACCAAGUACAAGGACGAGGGGAGGGCCAACAACCCGGACUUCAGAACGUUAUGUCAAAGAUGAGAGCGAGAUAGAUGUUGAUACUGCUGCUCCAACAUCUCAAGUUUCAAUCAAGCAUGGUCUGCUGAUAUGGAGAGCACAAGACCUGAACUUCAGUUCCUGGAACAAAUUUUGCAAGUUAUUAGGGGGUAUCCCAAUGGACAGGACGCCCGCGAGUGGCAGUCAUCUUGAUCUGGUGCGGUACCAUCACGAACAUCGAGACGGGGAGGCAGGCUGGAGGCCAGGGCGGCAUCGGGCAAAAGCAUGGGCCAGCGUCUGA
rnacentral:rRNA from 1 species